GAUGAACGCUGGCGGCGUGCCUAAUACAUGCAAGUCGAGCGAACAGAUGAGGAGCUUGCUCCUCUGACGUUAGCGGCGGACGGGUGAGUAACACGUGGAUAACCUACCUAUAAGACUGGGAUAACUUCGGGAAACCGGAGCUAAUACCGGAUAAUAUAUUGAACCGCAUGGUUCAAUAGUGAAAGACGGUUUUGCUGUCACUUAUAGCUGGAUCCGCGCCGCAUUAGCUAGUUGGUAAGGUAACGGCUUACCAAGGCAACGAUGCGUAGCCGACCUGAGAGGGUGGUCGGCCACACUGGAACUGAGACACGGUCCAGACUCCUACGGGAGGCAGCAGUAGGGAAUCUUCCGCAAUGGGCGAAAGCCUGACGGAGCAACGCCGCGUGAGUGAUGAAGGUCUUCGGAUCGUAAAACUCUGUUAUUAGGGAAGAACAAAUGUGGAAGUAACUAUGCACGUCUUGACGGUAACUAAUCAGAAAGCAACGGCUAACUACGUG
rnacentral:rRNA from 1 species